AGUGGCGCAGCUUGGUAGCGCACCUGCUUUGGGAGCAGGGGGUCGCAGGUUCAAAUCCUGUCU
rnacentral:tRNA from 1 species